rnacentral:misc_RNA from 1 species
GUAUUUUUUAUUUUCACUCGCUUUUUUACGACGAGCUAUUAUUUGACAUUCUAAGACUUUUUAAAGGGUAUGUAAAACAUAGGGAAGGGUUUGACCCCCUCCCUACAGAUGUGCACAGGUGUAUGAAGUUUCGAUCGGGGCGUGCACAUGCCUGUGAAGGCCAGCAACAACCCUUCUCAGAAGGAAUUCAAUAAUGAUCCUUCCGCAGGUUCACCUACGGAAA